AUGACCUCCAAGCCCCGAGACAAUUCUGACAGCGCAUUUACAACACGAUCGGACUUCCCAAGAGCUUGCAACUGCGUGCAGAGAAGCGGGUUCCCCUUCCCGUGGGGACUGCGAACGUCUAGGGUCUGCUUCCUACAUGAGUGGCUGCACAUCAAUUUCACGCAGAAACAGCUACGGAAACGCAGUGGGCACUUAAGAAACAAGCAGCUGCUCAAAGAAAGAGACUGCAGGCCCGAGCGCCCGGAGUUACAAUUCUUGGAGGCUCACUGGGGAACAGGGCUUUGGGACGAGGCGCCGAGCCUGGGGACAAAGUCCUCCGACCAGCGCCCCUCCCUCGGCCUCCAGCUCCGGCUCUCCGCGGCGGAGCCCAGCGGCCGCGUUCUCAGCGACCGCACCCACGCGACCCGCCGCAAGGGCUCAGGAGAGUCCGCCCCCACCAGAACCCCCAGUGUCACCCGUGCGACACAGGACCUCGGCGGCCCGAGGACGACCAGACCUCUGCCCAAGCCCAGGCUCACCUCCGGUGGCGGCGGGAAAAGCAGCUGCACCAGAAGGGAAGUGCCCGACCUAAAUAUGGCCGCGGGAGCCUCGGCCGCGGCCCANNNNNNNNNNNCCCCCCCCACUCCAGGGUCUUGUUUCCAAGUCUCUUCGCAGCCCCACCCUCCCUUGGCCACGCCCCCAAAUAAUCCCCGCCCCCUGUCCCCUCCCCUUCCCUCAGACUUGCCCCUCCCACAGCGCUUGUGGGCCGCUCUCCCUUUCCAGGACUUGCCUUGUGGGCGCUAGUGAUAAAGAAGCCGCCUGCAGAUGCAGGAGACGAAAGAGACGCGGGUUCGAUCCCUGGNNNNNNNNNNNNNNNNNNGAGGAGGGCGUGGCAACCCACUCCAGUAUGCUUGCCUGGAGAAUCCCAUGGACCGAGGAGCCUCCAUACAGUCCAUGGGAUCGUAAAGAAUCAGACACGACUGAAGCAGCUUAGCCCGCAGCCCCCUGUCCUAGGAUAAGACGCCCCCGACGUCAAGGAUAGGCCUUUCCCUCUAUCCCCGCUCUCCCCGACUCCCUCCCACCAGACUCGUCCCGGAGGACGCAGGAUAAUGCCCAGGCUUGAGAGAACCUGAACUCUGGCCCUCGCUUAACUCGUGUAAAAUGUGUUCGUGUAAUCUUUUGAAGUUUUUUUAGAAACCAGGAGAUAACUUCAAGUCCCUAGCCCCCCACCAUCCCAAUCUUUCACCUGCUUGGUUGCUGGAGUGAAAUAGGAGCCAUUUAAAAAAUCUAUGCUGGAAACAUAGUAGGAGCUUCGCCUGUGUCCUGUUUUCUCCCUUCUCUCAAUGUUAGAUGAAUUGAGCAACAAUAGUUGCUGGUUGCUGACUUAACAACAAAUACUUGCUUGACCUUCUGCUUCUGUUGCUUGUUUGUUUUAACCAAAUUGAUUAUUAGUGUACUUUGCCCAUUGAGGAAAUUAAAUAUGAUUACAUCAAAAGCUUACAAUUUUGUUUUUUUAGCCAAUAGUUAUACUGACAAAUUUUAAUGACAUCUUCUAAAAGACAAGGCUGGCUUUUGGGGCAUGCAACAUGCCCAGUGGAACAGGACAUCAAAAGGAACCUGCGCUUAGUAUAAUUGAUUGCUAUGUCACAUUGUUGGCAAAGUAAUGUCUCUGCUUUUGAAUAUGCUGUCUAGGUUGG
ensembl:lncRNA